CAUUAAUGAAAUUUAUGAC
rnacentral:rRNA from 1 species